GGGAGGCCCCAUUAGCUAAAGUCGUGCUUCAGGUUAAGAACAGUUUCAGGUUAAGAACAGACCUCUGGAACGAAUUAAGUACUUAACCCGAGGUACCACUGUACAAGUAUUCCACAACAUUCUAAUGCUCUUUAACCUUGUUAUACAGUUGCAAACAACUCCAAGUUGUUAAUGAUUUCAAAAUGCAGUUGUACGCAUUUAUUGUAUAUUUUUAUUGAAUCAGAGAGUAAUACCUAUCAUAGUGCCUUUCCCAUUUUAGGUGCUUCGGGAUGUCACUGAUAUUUUAAAAGCUACAAGUUAUAUCUAGAAUAAGUUAAUCUUUGUAUUUACUGUAGAAGUUUGUAUUUACAGUAGGGUUAAGAUACUGACUUUGUCAGCCAAGGAUAUAUGUUAAAGUGACUGGAAUGUACAAGAAGGAAUUAAUGAAUUCAUAUUUACUGGAGACGUGAACCUAUUUCAAUAUUUAUUGGGAUACCUAGACUGGUGGCUUUACUCAUAUUUUGCUUCUGACAAACCAUUUUGUCAAAGAAGUGUGCUGUAUUCUGAGCCACUUCAAAGUUUCCAUAAUUUGAGAUGUCAAGAAGAGCAAUAUUACAUCUCAUUUUGGGUGUUCUGAAUUUGUACAAUUCUUAAUCAGUGUGAUUUGAAAUCUAUUGGUAAGGGCAACUGGACCAAUGCUGCAAUAAUCCCGUCUACUACUGAGGCAACUGGACUAAUGUCAAUUUUGUUGCACUAGUCAACAAUCAAACUAUCACAGCAUGCUAAGACAGGUGACUGUUUAAUCCAACCAAGUAAAAAGCAGGGGCAGGUUUCUUCAUACUUGCCCCCUCUAUUUGAAGUGGUGGCAAAGGGAGUGAUUCUGUGAUGUCAUUAUAUAGCCAAAUCUCAUUGGCUAAACAGUACAGUAAUGCCAUCACUGAGAACAUAUUCUCUGAAUGGCUGGGUGUUUGUAUGUGUAUGUGAAUGAGUGACAGAGUGAGUGACAGAGAUUCUGUGAAAAUUCUUCCUGCUCAAAGCUUCUCUUUUGCAUAGAAAACAUCAAAGCCAUCCAAAUUACUGAACACUUCUACUACCUUAAGCUACUACUAUCCUAUUUGCCCUGUUGCUGCAGAUCCCUCUGCUUAUGCCCCAGUAACUGCAGCAUAUUGCACUGACGGUGUAAGUUAAAUCAACUCACACACUAUCUGGGGCAAAGCUAAAGCGGCUGCCUAAGGACAUUAUCUUCUGUAUUUUUUCAGGGUAGAUCAUGAGCAGAUACUACUUGCAACAAGUCCCCUUUAACCUUUCAGAAUCGGUUAAAUAAAAAUUCGAUCAUGACAUUACACAGUCAGAAUUAAACUAAGAGUACAAAUGGGACUUAAGAAUGUUGCAGGUUAUAACUUUGAAUAAAAAGUUAUACCAUUUGAUGGCAUUCUUCCUUCCACAGUGUCACAGAGAUCUAACUCAGUGGAAUACUAUUCUUAAAAUUAAAAAAAGCAAAGGCUACUUUCUGAAGGCAAUUGCUUUUGUGUGAGGUGGUAACACUGUUCUUAAAGCGUAAGAAAACUGUUAGAGAAGAAGAUCUUUAGGUAUUUAGAGAAACAUCACGCUUUAGAUGUAAAAUCUUUGCUUCAGCUUUUUUCGAGGAAGGAAGAAGAUCUGUAACAUGGCAGCCAUCUCUGAAUGGUUUUUUCCACUUGGGUUCCACUGAAAAUGAGAUUACAUGCUUGGAUGGGGAUAAACCUAAUUAGCGGAUAAUGGGAUUCCUUCACAGACAUUUUAUACUAUCUACAAGAGUUGACUCAUCUGCAUUAUUACACGUUUCUUUGCUGUUCUGAGGGGGGAAAUCCUGUAAAACAAAGGCAACGAGCACAAAUCUUUCUUUUUGUAGGAAUUGUCUCUCAUUUUGAUCUGCAAAUUCCCAAGACAUAAUAAACGGGGCAGAGAAAUUAAAACAGA